AAGAAUCUGGUUGAGAAAGAAGCUCAGAAACAUAUAUGUUGUUCACGAACAGACAGUGGAGGAGAAUUCACCUCAAACAAGUUCAAUCAGUUAUGCCAAGAGAAUGGAAUUAAACGGCAAUUAACAGUCGCUUUCACACCACAACAAAAUGGGGUAGCCGAACGAAGAAAUCGAACAAUUAUGAAUAUGGUGCGCUGCUUACUUACGGAGAAAGAGAUGCCAAAGACCUUAUGGACAGAAGCUGUAAAGUGGAUAAAUCAUGUGAUUAACAAAAGCCUUACCAAAGCAGUAAAGGAAAUGGUACCAGAAGAAAGAUGGAGUGGACUGAAACCUAGAGUUGACUAUUUUAGGGUGUUCGGAUCCAUUGCACAUGUGCAUAUACAUGGGCAGAAGAGAACUAAACUUGACGACAGAAGUCAUAAAUGUGUCCUAAUUGGUGUGAGUGACGAAUAA